rnacentral:rRNA from 1 species
GCGGCGGACGGGUUAGUAACGCGUGGGAAUAUGCCCAAUGGUACGGAAUAGCCUCUGGAAACGGAGAGUAAUACCGUAUGUGCCCUUCGGGGGAAAGAUUUAUCGCCAUUGGAUUAGCCCGCGUCUGAUUAGAUAGUUGGUGGGGUAACGGCCUACCAAGUCGACGAUCAGUAGCUGGUUUGAGAGGAUGAUCAGCAACACUGGGACUGAGACACGGCCCAGACUCCUACGGGAGGCAGCAGUGGGGAAUCUUAGACAAUGGGCGCAAGCCUGAUCUAGCCAUGCCGCGUGAGUGACGAAGGCCUUAGGGUCGUAAAGCUCUUUCGCCUGUGAAGAUAAUGACUGUAGCAGGUAAAGAAACCCCGGCUAACUCCGUGCCAGCAGCCGCGGUAAUACGGAGGGGGUUAGCGUUGUUCGGAAUUACUGGGCGUAAAGCGCACGUAGGCGGAUCAGAAAGUUGGGGGUGAAAUCCCGGGGCUCAACCCCGGAACUGCCUCCAAAACUCCUGGUCUUGAGUUCGAGAGAGGUAAGUGGAAUUCCGAGUGUAGAGGUGAAAU